CUUAACACAUGCAAGUCGAGCGGAGUGAUGGUGCUUGCACUAUCACUUAGCGGCGGACGGGUGAGUAAUGCUUAGGAAUCUGCCUAUUAGUGGGGGACAACAUUUCGAAAGGAAUGCUAAUACCGCAUACGUCCUACGGGAGAAAGCAGGGGAUCUUCGGACCUUGCGCUAAUAGAUGAGCCUAAGUCGGAUUAGCUAGUUGGUGGGGUAAAGGCCUACCAAGGCGACGAUCUGUAGCGGGUCUGAGAGGAUGAUCCGCCACACUGGGACUGAGACACGGCCCAGACUCCUACGGGAGGCAGCAGUGGGGAAUAUUGGACAAUGGGCGCAAGCCUGAUCCAGCCAUGCCGCGUGUGUGAAGAAGGCCUUAUGGUUGUAAAGCACUUUAAGCGAGGAGGAGGCUACUGAAGUUAAUACCUUCAGAUAGUGGACGUUACUCGCAGAAUAAGCACCGGCUAACUCUGUGCCAGCAGCCGCGGUAAUACAGAGGGUGCAAGCGUUAAUCGGAUUUACUGGGCGUAAAGCGCGCGUAGGCGGCUAAUUAAGUCAAAUGUGAAAUCCCCGAGCUUAACUUGGGAAUUGCAUUCGAUACUGGUUAGCUAGAGUGUGGGAGAGGAUGGUAGAAUUCCAGGUGUAGCGGUGAAAUGCGUAGAGAUCUGGAGGAAUACCGAUGGCGAAGGCAGCCAUCUGGCCUAACACUGACGCUGAGGUGCGAAAGCAUGGGGAGCAAACAGGAUUAGAUACCCUGGUAGUCCAUGCCGUAAACGAUGUCUACUAGCCGUUGGGGCCUUUGAGGCUUUAGUGGCGCAGCUAACGCGAUAAGUAGACCGCCUGGGGAGUACGGUCGCAAGACUA
rnacentral:rRNA from 1 species